GACGAACGCUGGCGGCGUGCUUAACACAUGCAAGUCGAACGAAGAGCGAUGGAAGCUUGCUUCUAUCAAUCUUAGUGGCGAACGGGUGAGUAACGCGUAAUCAACCUGCCCUUCAGAGGGGGACAACAGUUGGAAACGACUGCUAAUACCGCAUACGAUCUAAUCUCGGCAUCGAGGAUAGAUGAAAGGUGGCCUCUACAUGUAAGCUAUCACUGAAGGAGGGGAUUGCGUCUGAUUAGCUAGUUGGAGGGGUAACGGCCCACCAAGGCGAUGAUCAGUAGCCGGUCUGAGAGGAUGAACGGCCACAUUGGGACUGAGACACGGCCCAGACUCCUACGGGAGGCAGCAGUGGGGAAUCUUCCGCAAUGGACGAAAGUCUGACGGAGCAACGCCGCGUGAGUGAUGACGGCCUUCGGGUUGUAAAGCUCUGUUAAUCGGGACGAAAGGCCUUCUUGCGAAUAGUUAGGAGGAUUGACGGUACCGGAAUAGAAAGCC
rnacentral:rRNA from 1 species